rnacentral:rRNA from 1 species
GAUGAACGCUGGCGGCGUGCUUAACACAUGCAAGUCGAACGAAACACCUUAUUUGAUUUUCUUCGGAACUGAAGAUUUGGUGAUUGAGUGGCGGACGGGUGAGUAACGCGUGGGUAACCUGCCCUGUACAGGGGGAUAACAGUCAGAAAUGACUGCUAAUACCGCAUAAGACCACAGCACCGCAUGGUGCAGGGGUAAAAACUCCGGUGGUACAGGAUGGACCCGCGUCUGAUUAGCUGGUUGGUGAGGUAACGGCUCACCAAGGCGACGAUCAGUAGCCGGCUUGAGAGAGUGAACGGCCACAUUGGGACUGAGACACGGCCCAAACUCCUACGGGAGGCAGCAGUGGGGAAUAUUGCACAAUGGGGGAAACCCUGAUGCAGCGACGCCGCGUGAGUGAAGAAGUAUCUCGGUAUGUAAAGCUCUAUCAGCAGGGAAGAAAAUGACGGUACCUGACUAAGAAGCCCCGGCUAACUACGUGCCAGCAGCCGCGGUAAUACGUAGGGGGCAAGCGUUAUCCGGAAUUACUGGGUGUAAAGGGUGCGUAGGUGGUAUGGCAAGUCAGAAGUGAAAACCCAGGGCUUAACUCUGGGACUGCUUUUGAAACUGUCAGACUGGAGUGCAGGAGAGGUAAGCGGAAUUCCUAGUGUAGCGGUGAAAUGCGUAGAUAUUAGGAGGAACAUCAGUGGCGAAGGCGGCUUACUGGACUGAAACUGACACUGAGGCACGAAAGCGUGGGGAGCAAACAGGAUUAGAUACCCUGGUAGUCCACGCCGUAAACGA